CCUGCGGGAAGGAUCAUUG
rnacentral:rRNA from 1 species